GCCAGGUGUGGUGGUGCACACCUGUGAUCCCAGCUACUCAGGAGGCUGAGGCAGGAGAAUUGCCUGAACCCAGGAGGUGGAGGUUGCAGUGGGCCAAGAUCGAAUCACUGCACUCCAGCCUGGGUGACAGAGCAAGACUCUGUCUCAA
rnacentral:SRP_RNA from 1 species